GGUUAAGCGACUAAGCGUACACGGUGGAUGCCUAGGCAAUCAGAGGCGAUGAAGGACGUGCUAAUCUGCGAUAAGCGUCGGUAAGGUGAUAUGAACCGUUACAACCGACGAUUUCCGAAUGGGGAAACCCAGUGCAAUUCGUUGCACUAUCGUUUGAUGAAUACAUAGUCAAACGAAGCGAACCGGGGGAACUGAAACAUCUCAGUACCCCGAGGAAAAGAAAUCAACCGAGAUUCCCCUAGUAGCGGCGAGCGAACGGGGAGCAGCCCAGAGUCUUAAUCAGCAUUAGCAUCAGGAGAACGGUCUGGAAAGUCCGGCAGUAAAGGGUGAUAGCCCCGUAUCCGAAGGUGUUAGUGUUGUGAACUCGACGAGUAGGGCGGGACACGUGUUAUCCUGUCUGAAUAUGGGGGGACCAUCCUCCAAGGCUAAAUACUCCUGAUUGACCGAUAGUGAACCAGUACCGUGAGGGAAAGGCGAAAAGAACCCCGGCGAGGGGAGUGAAAUAGAACCUGAAACCGUGUACGUACAAGCAGUGGGAGCCCCACCACCAAAGCAUUUUCUGGUGUUGAGGA
rnacentral:rRNA from 1 species